UCCAUCCUACGGGGGGCAGCAGUGAGGAAUAUUGGUCAAUGGGCGCGAGCCUGAACCAGCCAAGUCGCGUGAGGGAUGACGGCCCUACGGGUUGUAAACCUCUUUUGUCGGGGAGCAAAUUCCGCCACGUGUGGCGGAGUCGAGAGUACCCGAAGAAAAAGCAUCGGCUAACUCCGUGCCAGCAGCCGCGGUAAUACGGAGGAUGCGAGCGUUAUCCGGAUUUAUUGGGUUUAAAGGGUGCGCAGGCGGAAGAUCAAGUCAGCGGUAAAAUUGAGAGGCUCAACCUCUUCGAGCCGUUGAAACUG
rnacentral:rRNA from 1 species